rnacentral:rRNA from 1 species
UCGGAAUUACUGGGCGUAAAGCGUGCGCAGGCGGUUAUGCAAGACAGAGGUGAAAUCCCCGGGCUCAACCUGGGAACUGCCUUUGUGACUGCAUGGCUAGAGUACGGUAGAGGGGGAUGGAAUUCCGCGUGUAGCAGUGAAAUGCGUAGAUAUGCGGAGGAACACCGAUGGCGAAGGCAAUCCCCUGGACCUGUACUGACGCUCAUGC